CAAGAAUAUUGGAGUGGAUUGCCAUUCCCUUCUCCAGGGGAUCUUCCUGAUUCAGGGAUUGAACCUGAGUCUCCUGCGUUGCAGGAGGAUUAUUUACCAUCUGAGCCACUAGGGAAGCCCAACAGUGCUGUAUGUCAAUGACAUCUCAAGCAAAACUAGAAGGAAAAACUAUUUAAGACACUGUUUUAUUUUAGCAUCCUAAAGCUAAAAGUGUCCUAUAUUGAUUAUUUUGCAGAUAAAGCAUUUUAUAUACAGUCUAAAAUUCCGUAAAUUAUCAUUAAAAAUACACAGAAAAUGGAAGCAGCGCAUCUGAAAACGGUGUUUUUCUUUUAACCUUUUCUAAUAUUUUUCUAAUUAAAAUGAACCUUUAAAUAUAAAAUAUUAUGGCUUUUAAAAGGGUGACUAUAUUUACUCUUUUGGACAUGAAUUUGAGCAAACUCUGGGAGAUAGUGAAGGACAGGGAAGCCUGGCAUGCUACAGUCGAUGGGGAUGCAAGCAGUCAGACCUGACUUAGUGACUGAACAACAACAAUGUACUCUUUUCUGCGUCAUGAGAAUUUGAAAGUCAGUUAAGCAAUUAAUACUUCAUUUAAAAUGUAUCCUUUUGUUUGGGAUAUGCCAAAUAUGUAAAGUGGCUUUCCAGUCCCUAGAAUGUUCAACAACUUUCUAUCAACAAAAUAUUGCCAAAGCAUAGUGACAUGUAUAGAUUUAAAUUUAAAUAAGGUUUAAAAAAAGAAAAAUGAGCCACCAAGUUUGACCCAGUUCAGUUUCUACUAAGUGAGUAAGUAGACUGAAUAUUUAAGGAAAUCAAAGACCACUUCAUUGCUGGACUGAAUAAACUGACUUCACGUGAGUGCCCAGAAGAGAAGCCACAUCUAUAGACAUAAUAUUCAAGAAACCGAAGCCUCGGUUCUUCACUCAGCUCUCCUCCUUAUUGGCCUUAUGGAAAUUAGCUGGGUAUUCGACCAACGGGAGCCGCCAUUCCUCAUGAACUGAAUGGGAAUGCUAGCAUAUGCUAUCAUAUGGAUCAGUCCAAAAAGGUUUUGAAAAUCAUAUAAUAUUAUGGAAACAAGCAUAUGGUGUUAUCAUUACUAGUUCUGGUUUAUACUCAGUAUCAGCAGCACUGAUCUAACACAGCAGGUCAGAGACAAGUCAC
rnacentral:lncRNA from 1 species